UAGUUUUCUUUCUUUUUUCCUUUUCUUUUUCUUCUUUAUGUUAUGCAUACCAGUAUUUAAUAUCUUAAAUAUGAAUGUUUGGCUUUUUUUUUUUAACAGAGCUUCGAUAUGAUCUACCAGCGUUAUACAACUUUCAUAAAAAGAAAUCUGUAAGUUUUCCAAUUGUGGUCUGUGUAAUCCAGUAUUCAAAAGCUUUUGUAAUGGUCAUUUCCACUCUUACCAAGGUAAAUGGGUAAAUAGAAAGUCAGCCUGAGAGAUUAGACAAAUUAGCUGUGGGAAGAAGGGCUUAUACGCACAGGAGUCAAUAUUUUAGUUGAAGUUCUUUGUGAACCAUUUUAAGAGAAAUAAAAGGAAGAAAGAACUAUUGGCUAUUUUUAUACAGUAUAUAUUUUACAAGUCUGUACUAAUACAUUCUCAUAUUACAAAGGCAAUUAAGAGGAAGAAUCUUCCUUCUCAUAUUUUAAUCAU
ensembl:processed_transcript Gm13625 predicted gene 13625